rnacentral:lncRNA from 10 species
CUUCAUCAGUGUGUCUGAAAACAUGCCCAAGACUCGUUCUGCUGGGUGAGUUCCCCAGGGGUCACUUGCCUUCUCAUAGGAAGAAGCAAAAUGUCCUGCUCCAGGCAAUUCAGAGUUACGGCCACUUUUCCCUCCAAGCUGGGCUUGGUGCUCCUGAGUUUCCUGGUAUAGCUCUUCUCCUCCCCGUUGCAGCUGGAUCCUGGAAGCCCUCAACAGUGUCUGAAUUGCAAGCCUCCACCCCACAGUGCGCAAGAGAUAUAGUCAUGAAGAAAACAGGAAGUCUCCCCCUUCAGAGUUUAUAUUCUGACUGGGAAAGUAGCAAGUUCAUAAGUGAAAGAAGAUCAUCUUGGGGACAUGUGACCAACUUGUCUCACUUUUCCUAGGACUGUCCUGGUUUUCAAACCAAAAGGAACCCCCUCAGUCCCAAGCAAAUUUGGAUGAUGGUCACCCUACUGAAAGAAUGAUCAGUGGUGUGGGACCAUAAUUCUCCAGGAGCAGUGGCUGUUGCUGGUUUCUUCCAUAGAUAUUUUAGAUAUAUAUACACUGUUCUGCAAUGAUUUAUUCAUUUUUCAUUUAAUGAAAGGUUUUAGAAAGCUUUCUGUAUCGGUAUGUAUAGCACCACCACCAUCAUCUUUUUAAAAUGGGGAUGAUAUUUCACUGUAUAUGAGUGACAUGAUUUAUUUAACCAAACUACUUUUAAGAUUGUUUUUCCUCAUCUUUCACAACUAUGAAAAGAUUGCAACCAAUAUCUAUUAUGUGUACGAUAUUUCACACGUGUUGUGAUUAUACAUGUAAGAUAAAUUCUUAAAAGUAAAAUUUCUGACUCAC